UGCAGAGUGUGAUCCAAUAGAAUGAAACCAAAUGGGGAAUAAGGUGGAAGAGACAAUGGAAGUGGUCAAGAAUCUUGGGUGGGAAUAUAGAGGAGGUAGGGUAGGGAAGGAUGACUCGGUCUUGUGAAAACCCACCACAUGGAGAAAUCAAAACCUUACCAACAGGAGAAGUCAAAUGCCUUGUAAAGGCAGGCUAAGAAGACAACCAGUGACAUCAUGGGGCUGGUGUCAACUUUGGUAUUCAUUCAUCAAGGAAGGUUUUUUUAGAAGAUGUGGGCCUUGAAGAACGGGACUCGUGGGACCUCAGAACUUGAAAGGGACUCAGUGAGGAUCCAGUGUAACCCACAGUGAAUAAGAAUUACAUCUCUGUAAAGGCAUCAAUGAGUCAGUUCCUGCAUGAAGGCCUCUAGAUGUGGGAGAAGAAAAUUUAUUAAACACCUGCCAUGUCCAGAGCACUGUGCUAGGCACUGGAAAAAUACCAAAUUUGAAUAAAAUCCAGUCUCCUGCCCUCAUGGAA